rnacentral:rRNA from 1 species
GCGGACGGCUCAGUAACACGUAGUCAACCUAACUCGUGGACGUGGAUAACCUCGGGAAACUGAGAAUAAACCACGAUAGAUCAUAGUGCCUGGAAUGGCUUAUGGUCCAAACAGUUUACUGCCAUGGGAUGGGACUGCGCCCUAUCAGCUUGUUGGUGAGGUAAUGGCCCACCAAGGCGAUUACAGGUACGGGCUCUGAGAGGAGAAGCCCGGAGAUGGGUACUGAGACACGGACCCAGGCCCUAUGGGGCGCAGCAGGCGAGAAACCUUAGCAAUGUGCGAAAGCACGACUGGGUCAGUCCGAGUGAUUCCUGAUAAAGGAGUCUUUUGCUUGUCCUAAAAGCACAGGUGAAUAAGGGGUGGGCAAGUCUGGUGUCAGCCGCCGCGGUAAUACCAGCACCUCGAGUGGUCAGGACGUUUAUUGGGCCUAAAGCAUCCGUAGCCGGCUUUGCAAGUCUUCGGUUAAAUCCACCUGCUCAACAGAUGGGCCGCUGGAGAUACUACAGAGCUAGGGAGUGGGAGAGGCAGACGGUAUUCAGUGGGUAGGGGUAAAAUCCUCUGAUCCAUUGAGGACCACCAGUGGCGAAGGCGGUCUGCCAGAACACGUUCGACGGUGAGGGAUGAAAGCUGGGGGAGCAAACCGGAUUAGAUACCCGGGUAGUCCCAGCUGUAAACGAUGCAAACUCGGUGAUGCAUUGGCUUAUGGCCA